rnacentral:rRNA from 1 species
CCUACGGGUGGCAGCAGUGGGGAAUAUUGGACAAUGGGGGGAACCCUGAUCCAGCGACGCCGCGUGAGUGAAGAAGUAUUUCGGUAUGUAAAGCUCUAUCAGCAGGGAAGAAAGAAAUGACGGUACCUGACUAAGAAGCCCCGGCUAACUACGUGCCAGCAGCCGCGGUAAUACGUAGGGGGCAAGCGUUAUCCGGAUUCACUGGGUGUAAAGGGAGCGUAGACGGCGAGACAAGUCUGGAGUGAAAGGCCGGGGCCCAACCCCGGGACUGCUCUGGAAACUGCCUGGCUGGAGUACAGGAGAGGUAAGUGGAAUUCCUAGUGUAGCGGUGAAAUGCGUAGAUAUUAGGAGGAACACCAGUGGCGAAGGCGGCUUACUGGACUGUAACUGACGUUGAGGCUCGAAAGCGUGGGGAGCAAACAGGAUUAGAUACCCUAGUAGUC